GUGGGAAUAGCUCAGUCGGUUAGAGCGCCAGAUUGUGGUCCUGGAGGUCGUGGGUUCGAUCCCCAUUUUCCACC
rfam:Epulopiscium sp. SCG-B10WGA-EpuloA2 SCGB10WGA_A2_115, whole genome shotgun sequence.